rnacentral:tRNA from 1 species
CGGAGCGUGGCGCAGUUUGGUAGCGCGCUGCAAUGGGGUUGCAGAGGUCGCAGGUUCGAAUCCUGUCGCUCCGACCA